rnacentral:rRNA from 1 species
UGGGGAAUAUUGCACAAUGGGCGCAAGCCUGAUGCAGCCAUGCCGCGUGUAUGAAGAAGGCCUUCGGGUUGUAAAGUACUUUCAGCGGGGAGGAAGGGAGUAAAGUUAAUACCUUUGCUCAUUGACGUUACCCGCAGAAGAAGCACCGGCUAACUCCGUGCCAGCAGCCGCGGUAAUACGGAGGGUGCAAGCGUUAAUCGGAAUUACUGGGCGUAAAGCGCACGCAGGCGGUUUGUUAAGUCAGAUGUGAAAUCCCCGGGCUCAACCUGGGAACUGCAUCUGAUACUGGAAAGAUUGAGUCUCGUAGAGGGGGGUAGGAUGACAGGUGUGGCGGUGAAAUGAGUAGAGAUCUGGAGGAAUACCGGUGGCGAAGGCGGCCCCCUGGACGAAGACUGACGCUCAGGUGCGAAAGCGUGGGGAGCAAACAGG